rnacentral:lncRNA from 1 species
GAUGAGGAAGUAUCAGCUAAAACCCCCUUAGCAGUCAGAAGCAAGAAAUAAAGACAUCCUUACUCUGGAUAGAGAGAUGGAGCUGGCAAGGACUUUGAAAUCCAACAUACUCUUGGGGGAAGGUGUGCAAUAUCUCCUUGGUCAGACUGCUUUAAUGUUUAAGGGAAGAUACACCCUCACCCCCUGCUAAGAGGUAUGAGUAUAGAGGGUUUUGGAGGAGAUGUUAGAUGAAAUGGUUAUAUAAGUUUCCUUUUGAAGAGGGAAAAUAACAAAGGCUAUUUUUACUUUUUGGAGCACAUUUUUACAAAGAAAGAUCUGGAUGUUAUUUUUCUUCAGUCAUGGUACUUAUGAUCAGCCAUGAUCCUGGAUUGGCCCUUGGAUCAGGAAAAAAAAAAAAAAACCUGCUUACCUAGUACAAUAUUGGGACACCUGGCAAAAUAUGAACAUAGACUAAUUCCAGGUGACGUUAGCUGAAGAGCCAGUGUUAUAAACUCACUGGUGUUGAGGGCUUAGUAAUGCCUAUGUGACAGAAUGUCUUUCCAUUCUUAGAAGAAUUUAGGGAUGAAGAGUCCUGGUGUUUGCAUCUUGCUCUAAAAUGGUUCAGGGGCUGGAUGUGGUGGCUCACACCUGUAAUCCCAGCACUUUGGGAGGCCGAAGGGUGGGCGGGGGGGAAUCACUUGAGGUCAGGAGUUCAAGACCAGCCUGGCCAACAUGGUGAAACCCCAUCUCUACUAAAAAUACAAAAAAAUUAGCCGGCUGUGGUGGUGCACACCUGUAGUCCCAGCUACUCCAGAGGCCGAGGCAGGAGAAUCGCUUGAAUCCAGGUGGCAGAGGUUGCAGUGAGCUGAGAUCAUGCCACUGCACUCCAGCCUGGGCAACAGAGCGAGACUCCAUCUCAAAAUAAAAAAUAAAUAAGUAAGUAAAUAAAUAAAUAAAUAAAAUGGUUCAGCAAAAUAAUAGUAACAAUGACAGCAAUAAUGAUGAUGAUGACAGAGCAAAUGUGGCAUAAUGUUACAAAGUGGUGAAUCUAGAUGAAAGGUUUAUGGGAAGUCCUGUACCAGUUUCCAGACUUUCUCAUUGGCUUAAAAUGUUUUUCAAAAUUAAAAAUUAAAAAAAAAAAAGACAACUUGAAAAGCAAAAUAAUGACAUGACAACUGGCCCCUACCCUUCAGGUCCAUAAUUCCAGCACCUAGACCAAGACAAUACUUACUUCAUAUUGAUCUCCAGGACAGAGGCGUGCAAAGCCAGCCAGACCUGUAACCAAGAAAUUGGAAGACCAUGUGGAACUCAAGGCCAGGGAGCAGUCAUCAGAAUGCAGUCAAGUGCCUGGCCAAUAGCAGGCACUCAGUAAGUACUUGCUCUAUUAUCUUUAAUGUCACUACCCCAAAAGGUUGUUUUCUAGUGUUGGGGUUGGGGCAAAAAGGGAAGUGAGGAAGGGUGUGGCACGAGGAAGUUAGUGGUUGCCAGGUCUGAGAGUAUUGUGAAAUAGUCUGUUUGUCAAUAUGUAUGUUGGAAGUAGUUUUUACCAGAAUGAGUAACAGAUGAGAAAGCAGCUAAUUGCAAAGACAAUAGGAUUUCUUGGCAGCAUGAGGUUUCCCUUUCUCUUUAUGGAGGAAGAGAAAGAUUUCCAUGGGGGUGUUUACCAUUGAAAGCCUUCACAGAUGUAGUUUCUGAGUUUGCCUGUUAGAUGAGGAAAGUGGAGGAGACAGGAGUCUAUCAAUGAGGAAGGAGAUUUAGUCUCAGGCCUGAGAAACCCCAUGGAAGAAACCAAGCGUUCAGGUGGACUCUCAGGAACAUCAGGCAGGAGAGCAAGAACAACAGAGAGAGGAGGAGAUGGAGGAGCAGGAGCAACAGCAAGUUCAUCAGUCCAUCAGGGCUGCGAUGUAGCGGGGUGGCCAGGUCCCCCAGUAGGUGGCAGGGACUCCAGCAUCAUCUCCUCCCUGAACACCAAGCCUGAAGCUCCAGAUCUGGUCCGAGGGUGGUCCCUUUCCUCCCCAUCCCACUCCUAGGGUGUCUCUGUGCUAGGUUGGAGAGGAUCUGCCCGUGAGGGAGACCAUUCUUUGAGCAAUGGUUUAUAUUGUCUGCUCAGCUCUGAACUUCCCUCAUAACAUGGAGUUAGAGGUGGGAAUGCAUUAGGAACAAAGAACCCUGGAAUUCAGUUUCUUGUCUGACUCCAAUUUAAGUGUGACUCCUGGGACAAGUCAUUUAGCCUCUCUAGGCCCCUAUUUCCCAUCUGUAAAAUCAGGAAAUUACCAUCCCACCAAAAAUAGAUGCACUUGAUAAUACUGAGCAUCAGAAAUAGGAGAAAUAUAGUACUUUUUUAUAUUAGCAGUGAUAGGUGAUGUGCAUGAUUUGAAUUACUGUUAGGCUGCGAGACUCUGCGACUGUGCUAGUCUGUGUGGGUGGCGUCUGAGAGUUGGGGGAAGUAGAGGGAAGGUUUUCUGCUAAACACUGAUUCAGGGCAGUUAUUUUCCAGAAUUGAUCAGGCUGCUGAUAGAAUCAUCCUCAAAGUUAAAAUAAAAAUUCCAGGGCCCACGUGGGACUAUGGACCUGCGUGAUUUUGGAACCACUGACUCAAGUGAGGACCCAAAAAUGUAGAGAAUGGACCUAAAAAAUGGAAAAAAGCACAGAUGCCAGACUCAGUAGCAAAGCAAGUGUUGAAACUUAACACUGAAUACUAAACUGAUUCCCUACCGGAUCUGCCGGAAGAGAAGCAUGCAGCCAUUUGGGAAGCUGAGGGUCAAGGUCAUUUAUAUUCCAGGUAUUCUCAGACAGGCUCUUACAUGUCAGUGCCUAGUGCUUGACAGAAUAAUUUCCCUCCUGAGUUAGAUGAUUCAUUGGAAAAUGAAGCCCUCCUGUCGAGCCCUUUCAAAAAAAAGUCUCCUUUCUUUACUCCCUUAAUUGCAGAAAGUAGAAAGAAGGUGAUUAAAUCCCCAUUAGCAACCCAGGGAUCAAGCUGCUAAGAAACCUCAGAAUUGCAUAAGCACCAGCCCUCUUCACUGCAGUCAGAUGGGCCAAAACUUGGAAGAGAAAUUGACUUGCUGUGAUGGCCGCUCAUUUGACAGCCAUGCCUGGCCACUGAGCCGUAAAUCUGACAACACCUGAGCAAUGCUCUAUUUUCUAAAACCAGACUUCGUUUUUGUUCUGAAGAUGCUGUGGUUUAACUCAAUAAUGUGUCUAGUUUGGAACUUUCUGGAAUAAAUACCAGAAAGGCACUGGGAGGGGAAAAAUUCUCUGUGGGUUUAACACCAAGAUUUACAAAAUUUCAUAGUUAGUUUGCUAGAAACAUGAGGAGCUAAAGGAAGAAUUUAAAGAUCACCCCAAAGAAGCCAACAGACAAGCUAGAAUGUGGGACAUUCUGUACAAUGGUUUCUACAGCAAGUCAAGGGUAGAAAAAAAGGUAGGGAGAGGUUUGUUUUAGAUUAAAGGAAAUCUAAAAGAUAUACCUAACAACCAAUUGUAAUGCAUGGACCUUGUUGGGAUCCUAAUUUGAACUAAUCAAAUGUACAAGGCAUUUUUGAGACAACGGGGGAAAUCUGAUAAUGGAAUGGGUUAAUAACCAGGGUUUAUUAUUUUUGUUAGCUGUGAAAACGUGACAGUACUUGGCAUCGUGGUUAUGUAAGAUGACAGCCCCAUGCUUUAAGAGAUGCAUACUGAAGUGUAUAGCAGCAGACUGACAUAUCUGGGUUUUAUUUCAUCAAAGGACUUCUCUUUUAUCAAAGGAAAAACAAAAGCAAAGAGAUGGAGCAAAUGUGGCAAAAUCUUGCUAAUUAUUACAUCUAGGUGAUGGGUUUAUGGGGGCUCAUUAUAAUGUUCUCUCCACUUCUGUGUAUGUUUGAGAUUCUGUCAUAAUAUUUUUGUGUGUGUAGGUAAGCCUCAGGAUGAGAAGCAUCAGUAAACUAUCAAAAGUGGGGUGGGUUGAGAGUGGGUGGCGCUGCGUCUUUGCAAGGAAAAUAAAAAUAGCAUGGGCUCUCAAACUUCAAGGAGCUCUGCACUCUGCAGAGAUGGCUCCUUAUUCUCUCUAAACAAGGAAAAUAAUACCUUUCAUCUUGAUGGAGAAUUCUCCCAGCAGAUUCUCUAGCUCCACUUCAAUGGUGCACAUAUUCUGCAAAGAGGACAGGAGACGAUCAUGAGAGCUAGCCUUUCACCCAACAGCUCAAAGCACACGACGUUCGAACAGCAGCACAACCACUGCGUGAACAACGAGAAGCAUUUACCUGUUUGCUCCACACAGCACAGCCUAAGAAACAUUCUUGACAAAAUGUUUGAUCUGAGUCUAAGCCCACCUUUUAGUGUACAGGAAAUUUAGGGCAUAGAUGAGCAAGUCAGAUUAUAUCAAAAAUAGACACAUUCAGAAUGUGGGGUAGUCUAUAGGAAUUAGCAUGAAUUCUACAAAAAGGCAGUAUCAUAGGGGAAAAAAUUUCUACAUAAAGAGACUAGACAAACAUAAUCACCAAAUGUAACAACUUAACCUUGAUAAUAUCCUGAUUUGAAAGUAAAUAAAUCAAAACAUUUAUAAAAGACAUUAUUGAUCCAAAUAGGGAAAACUUGAAAAUGGACAAUAUGUUAUAUAAUUCUAUGGGAUGAUUGUCAAUUUUCUUGGUUGUAGUAAUGGUAUGUGGUUAUGUAGGAAAUGUAGAUAUUCCAUAGGUUACUAUUAAGAGAUCCCUGGCUUGAUUUAGCCAUUGUAUUACAUAUUUCUGUGCAUACACACUUCAAAACAUCAAGUUGUAUACCAUAAAUAUGUAGUUUUUAUUUGCCAAUUACAAAUAAAUUUUAAAAAGAGAUCCAGGUUAAAAUACAUAUAGGGUGAAAUGUCAUGAUGUCUAUCACUUACUGUCAAAUGACUUGAGGGGGAUUUGAUCAUAUGAGAGAGAGGGAAAGCAAAUAUGGCCAAAUAUUACCAAUUGGUAAAUCUAGAUAAAGGCAUAUGGUGUUCAAUGUACAAGUCUUUCAAUUUUUCUAUAGGUUUGAAAUUUUUCUUAAAAAUUUGGGGCCAAAAGAGCACAAGGGCUGAAUUCUGCUCAAGUGAGUAAGGCAGACUUCCUACUGCAAACCUACAGCGCCCCAAAAAUUAUUUUUGGGUCUGACAAGGGUCUUCUCUUUGAUGUUGAAGGAAAAGGAUAGAGAGAAGGAGUAACACCAUCUGUGCAUGUGGUUAGAUACAUAACUAGCCUCACCCUACUUCCUCAAUACCUGAGGACCUAAAUAGAACAAUUGCAGUUAGAAAUGAAAAGGGAAAGUGCUGCGGCCAUGGGCCAUCCCCAGGGAGGCCCUUCUGCUGCUUGACCAGCUUACAAUCUGGAUGCUGCCUCUGCUAUGCUAAGCAGCAGUCUCCAUUGAAGCUUGAUGCAGGGUGAUGUCUGCAGGCUUCUCCCUCAGUUGCCAGCCUCCCACAAGGCUAGGGGUUCGAGGGUGGCCUCACUGACAAAAGCAUGGCCAGCUUGAUUAGUGCAGGCUGGUAUUGCUUCCAUUUGAAUUCUGUAUGCUGAGGACCUCAGCCUAGAGGUUCUGAUUCUUCUAUGUUUCGUUGUUCUGCUCCAAAUGAUCACUCUCAUGGGAUGCAAAGAGAAUGGCAUUGCUUUUUCCCUUGUAAAUUCUCACUACCUGAACUAGCUAGCAAGGCUGGGGAAAACUUCCUGAAGUCUGAGCUCUGCGUAGCUUGAAAGCCUUGAAAACAAAGCCUCAGUAUUAUAAACCAAUUUAUUUCCUCAGAGUAUUGGGCACUUCUGUGAAGAAACAGUUUCCAGACAUAUCAACUAUGCUAUCAUGCAUGUCAGGAUUGCUACCAGUAUCUCUGAAAAACGUGAGAGCAGCUAGGUUAAGACUUGAGGACAUCCAUGGUCAAAAUUUUCCUCCCCCGACCACUGGCACCCCCCCACCACCCACAGCCACUGAUGAACAUUGCUGCACACGAAAAAGCACCUGAGCCUACCUUGACCUCAUUGUUAAAUCCUCAUUUUAAACCAUCAUCAUAAUAACAUGCUGGCUUUUGUGGUUAUGUGAGGAUGUAUUUCUUUCUUGCUUU